UACGAAGGGGGCUAGCGUUGUUCGGAAUUACUGGGCGUAAAGCGCACGUAGGCGGAUACUUAAGUCAGGGGUGAAAUCCCGGGGCUCAACCCCGGAACUGCCUUUGAUACUGGGUAUCUCGAGUCCGGAAGAGGUGAGUGGAAUUCCGAGUGUAGAGGUGAAAUUCGUAGAUAUCGGGAGGAACACCAGUGGCGAAGGCGGCGACCUGGGCAGAUACUGACGCUGAGGUACGAAAGCGUGGGGAGCGAACAGG
rnacentral:rRNA from 1 species